rnacentral:rRNA from 1 species
UACGUAGGCGGCAAGCGUUACUCGGAAUUACUAGGCGUAAAGCGCAGGUAGGUGGUUGGGUAAGUCUGUAAUGAAAUCUCCCGGCUUAACUGGGAGAGGUUUGGAGAUACUGCCCGACUCGAGUGUGGGAGAGGUAACUGGAAUUCCUGGUGUAGCGGUGAAAUGCGUAGAUAUCAGGAGGAACACCUAUGGCGAAAGCAGGUUACUGGCCCAAUACUGACGCUGAGCUGCGAAAGCUAGGGGAGCAAACAGG